GCCUGGCUGGCUCAGUUGGUAGGGCAUGUGACUCUGGAUCACAGGGUUGUGAGUUCAAGACCCACAUUGGGCA
rfam:Felis catus isolate Cinnamon breed Abyssinian chromosome D3, whole genome shotgun sequence.